rnacentral:misc_RNA from 1 species
UACGAAGGGGGCUAGCGUUGUUCGGAAUUACUGGGCGUAAAGCGCGCGUAGGCGGUGUUCUAUGCCAGAGGCGAAAUCCCGGAGCUCAACUCCGGAAUUGCCUUUGAAACGGGGACACUUGAGUCCGAGAGAGGAUGGCGGAAUUCCUAGUGUAGAGGUGAAAUUCGAAGAUAUUAGGAAGAACACCGGUGGCGAAGGCGGCCAUCUGGCUCGGUACUGACGCUCAGGCGCGGAAGCAUGGGGAGCAAACAGG